rnacentral:rRNA from 1 species
UUUAGUAGACAGAAACCUCGGUGGAAGAUUACUAAUGAGAGUGGCGAACGGGUGAGUAACGCGUGAGCAACCUGCCUAUGACAGUGGGAUAGCCUCGGGAAACCGGGAUUAAUACCGCAUAAAAUCGUAGAAACACAUGUUUCAACGGUCAAAGAUUUAUCGGUCAUAGAUGGGCUCGCGUCUGAUUAGCUAGUUGGUGAGAUAACAGCCCACCAAGGCGACGAUCAGUAGCCGGUCUGAGAGGAUGAACGGCCACAUUGGAACUGAGACACGGUCCAAACUCCUACGGGAGGCAGCAGUGGGGAAUAUUGCACAAUGGGGGAAACCCUGAUGCAGCGACGCCGCGUGAACGAAGAAGGUAUUCGUAUCGUAAAGUUCUGUCCUAUGGGAAGAUAAUGACAGUACCAUAGAAGAAAGCUCCGGCUAAAUACGUGCCAGCAGCCGCGGUAAUACGUAUGGAGCGAGCGUUGUCCGGAAUUAUUGGGCGUAAAGGGUACGCAGGCGGUUUAAUAAGUCGAAUGUUAAAGAUCGGGGCUCAACCCCGUAAAGCAUUGGAAACUGAUAAACUUGAGUAGUGGAGCAGGAAAGUGGAAUUCCUAGUGUAGUGGUGAAAUACGUAGAUAUUAGGAGGAAUACCAGUAGCGAAGGCGACUUUCUGGACACAAACUGACGCUGAGGUACGAAAGCGUGGGGAGCAAACAGGAUUAGAUACCCUGGUAGUCCACGCCGUAAACGAUGAUGCUAGGUGUUGGGGGUCAAACCUCGGUGCCGAAGUUACACAUUAAGCAUUCCGCC